rnacentral:rRNA from 1 species
GACGAACGCUGGCGGCGUGCCUAACACAUGCAAGUCGAACGGAGAUAUAAUUUCGGUUAUAUCUUAGUGGCGAACGGGUGAGUAACGCGUGAGCAACCUGACCUUCAGAGGGGGAUAACACUUGGAAACAGGUGCUAAUACCGCAUAAGGCCACGACCCGACAUCGGGAUGAGGUCAAAGGAGCAAUCCGCUGAGGGAGGGGCUCGCGUCCCAUUAGAUAGAUGGCGGGGUAACGGCCCACCAUGUCGACGAUGGGUAGCCGAGCUGAGAGGCUGAUCGGCCACACUGGAACUGAGACACGGUCCAGACUCCUACGGGAGGCAGCAGUGGGGAAUAUUGGGCAAUGGGCGCAAGCCUGACCCAGCAACGCCGCGUGAGGGAAGAAGGCCUUCGGGUUGUAAACCUCUGUCCUUGGUGACGAAACAAAUGACGGUAGCCAAGGAGGAAGCCCCGGCUAACUACGUGCCAGCAGCCGCAGUAA